GACGAACGCUGGCGGCGUGCUUAACACAUGCAAGUCGAACGGAAAGGCCCUGCUUUUGUGGGGUGCUCGAGUGGCGAAAGGGUGAGUAACACGUGAGUAACCUGCCCUUGACCUUGGGAUAACUUCAGGACACUGGGGCUAAUACCGGAUAGGAGCUCCUGCUGCAUGGUGGGGGUUGGAAAGUUUCGGCGGUUGGGGAUGGACUUGCGGCUUAUCAGCUUGUUGGUGGGGUAGUGGCUUACCAAGGCUUUGACGGGUAGCCGGCCUGAGGGGGUGACCGGCCACAUUGGGACUGAUAUACGACCCAGAAUCCUACGGGAGGUAGCAGUGGGGAAUAUUGCACAAUGGGCGGAAGCCUUAUGCAGCAACGCCGCGUGCGGGAUGACGGCCUUCGGGUUGUAAACCGCUUUCGCCUGUGACGAAGCGUGAGUGACGGUAAUGGGUAAAGAAGCACCGGCUAACUACGUG
rnacentral:rRNA from 1 species